ACCAGGAAAGGCGGGAUGCUGCAAGCACGGGUUAAGUGGAGCCUGGCCAGCAGGGAGCACAGGAAGGAAAUGCAGAGGGCUCCUGGCUGCAGCACCCAGGAGAGUAAUGGAAGUGCCUUUUGCCUCCUGGCAUGAUUCUGAGGCCGCCCCAGCCCUGUGGAACUGCCAAGAUUAUCUCAGGAUUUCAUGAAGAGGAGAAAUGGAGGUCAUUUCCUAGAGAUUAAUGGAGAAUUUGAUUGUGAGAAGAAAAUUGUUUAAGGAGCAGGGGUGGGUGUGGAGGCAAAUGUCACACACUCCAGAAGGUAAAGUGACCUGGCUCUUCCCCUCUUACUCCUUGGAAAGAGGGAAAGCUCAUCAGAGCCAGGACCCUGGAAAAGCGAUGUGAUGAAGAGAAGGAGGCCCUGAAUAGCACCAUCUGAAAGGCAUUUCCAAGGAAGCCAGGGAUGUGACUCUGUCUUGGUUGUGGAGAUCAAAAGGUUUUGUGAAGGAAGCAAUGGCUCUCUAGCCCCUUUCUGGGUGGAUUCUGGGGUAGAGGGAUCUGGUUCCUUUGACAACUGGUUAGUUAUAGCUAUAGGGUGAAGCCAAUUGAGUAAUAUUGGUCUGGGCUUCCAGAGACACAAGGUCUUCUUGAACCAUAAGCUCUCCGAACAAUGCCCCACCUAGGCAGAGCAGAGAACCCUGAACUUUUGCCUGGGGAGAACAAACAAGUGCACGUUCUCGGGAGCCACCAGACCUGGGACUACCCAUUGGACCCCUAACCUCCACUGUUCUUGGCCUCUCUUUCCCAUUAGAUUGUGAGUUCUUUGAGGACAGAGACUACCUCUUCUCCAUCCUUGUUUCCCUAGCCUAAUACACCAUCAAAUAAUGCUGUGGAAAGAAAAAGUAAAGGAAUAAAUAAAUAAACCUUAGAUAAGUGAUCCAUCCACUAAUCCUCCA